rnacentral:rRNA from 1 species
UACGUGAGGGGCGAACGUUGUUCGGUGUCACUGGGCUUAAAGGGUGCGUAGGUGGUUGCGUAAGUAACGUGUGAAAUCCCUCGGCUUACCCGGGGAAUUGCAUGUUAUACUGCGUGACUUGAGGGCUAAAGGGGAAAAGGGAACUCCAGGUGUAGCGGUGAAAUGCGUAGAUAUCUGGAGGAACACCGGUGGCGAAGGCGGCAUCCUGGACCGACACUGACGCUGAGGAGCGAAAGCCAGGGGAGCAAACGGG